CUCCACGGCCAAUGGGAGCUGCGGGGGCAGUGCCUGCAGGCAGCGCGCAGAGCUGCCUGGCUGCCCCUGAGCCUAGGAGCCAGACGUGCUGGCUCCUUUCAGGAGCCUCUCAAGGUAAUUUCUAAUCCCGUGAACGAUCGACCAGCCAUGCUUUGAGGCAAAGAACUCCAAUCUUGGGAUGAAGGAUCUUCCCACGUUCCUGGGAGAGAAGAUGAGGAGCUACCUGGAGAGUGAUUGUACGACUAUGGAUGUUAGAGGAGUCGAGGGGAACGCAUACAGUAGACCUGAUGACCACUGAAGGUGGAAGGCAUCCCCCAAGGAUCAGUGGCUCAGCCUGCCUCUGGAGCAGAUCUGGGCACAUUUCUUGUUUCCCGUCGUGGAGAACAGGUGUAUUUGAGGGGUGCCCCAUUGCCAGAAUAUGUGAUGAAGUAUGAUGGGAUUUAUCUCCCACUCAAGGUCUUGAGAGAAGUGCCUGCUGAAUGUGUCUGCUGUCACAUUCUGAACUACUGGGAAAGGGUCCUCGUGGAUUUUUGAAUGUUCAAUUGCAGGCCCAAUUUGAGAUAGAGGUCUAUGGCUUUGCAAGUUGCC